UACGUAGGGUGCAGGCGUUAAUCGGAAUUAUUGGGCGUAAAGGGCGCGUAGGCGGCCACCGCAAGUCGACUGUGAAAUCUCCGGGCUUAACCCGGAAAGGUCAGCCGAUACUGCGGGGCUAGAGUGCAGAAGGGGCAACUGGAAUUCUCGGUGUAGCGGUGAAAUGCGUAGAUAUCGAGAGGAACACCUGCGGCGAAGGCGGGUUGCUGGGCUGACACUGACGCUGAGGCGCGAAAGCUAGGGGAGCGAACGGG
rnacentral:rRNA from 1 species